GCCCUUAUAGUCUAGCCUGGACAGGACACGGGCUUCCGGAGCCUGGAACUGGGGUUCGAAUCCCCAUAAGGGCA
rnacentral:tRNA from 1 species